CACUCCUGCGGGAGGCAGCAGUGGGGAAUUUUGGACAAUGGGCGAAAGCCUGAUCCAGCCAUGCCGCGUGCAGGAUGAAGGCCUUCGGGUUGUAAACUGCUUUUGUACGGAACGAAACGGCCUUUUCUAAUAAAGAGGGCUAAUGACGGUACCGUAAGAAUAAGCACCGGCUAACUACGUGCCAGCAGCCGCGGUAAUACGUAGGGUGCAAGCGUUAAUCGGAAUUACUGGGCGUAAAGCGUGCGCAGGCGGUUAUGUAAGACAGUUGUGAAAUCCCCGGGCUCAACCUGGGAACUGCAUCUGUGACUGGAUAGCUAGAGUACGGUAGAGGGGGAUAGAAUUCCGCGUGUAGCAGUGAAAUGCGUAGAUAUGCGGAGGAACACCGAUGGCGAAGGCAAUCCCCUGGACCUGUACUGACGCUCAUGCACGAAAGCGUGGGGAGCAAACAGGAUUAGAUACCCCGGUAGUCCCAUGAU
rnacentral:rRNA from 1 species